ACCCCAACAUAGUUGGGAAAAGGCUAGGCCAAUGAUGAUGAUGAUUUUAUAGAGUUGUUAGUUCAUUAAUCUUUGAACUUAUAGUUGAACUUGUCUCCUUAUUAUCGGUGUGCGUGUCUUAAAACUGCUUUGUCUAGUUUGACGUUCACCAAAUGUCAUAUCAAGACAUUAACUCACAUUUUACGAUCCGAAAUCAAUUAAUGUUAUUGUUAUACGAAUUUACCUUAAAAACAUCCUUUUUCACCCUACAUACCUACGUAACAUUAGGUAGAACUUAUUAAGUCCGAUGUUCCGUAUAUAGUUGUGCACUCAACAUGAUCAAACGAAGCAAAAGCAGUUGUAACUGAAGCUAUACGAGUAUUAAACGGUUUUCGUUGUAAACGCAUUUGAACCUGCGCGCCGUGUUCCGUGCAGGGGGCGCGUGGCGCGUGAUACUAGAGGGACGGUUGUUCUCACAUCGAUUGGCUCGUACUAACCGGCACAGGAACUUACGCUCAAUUGUUGUUAGAUAUAAUAGUACUGCAUAUAUAGAGAUAUAAGUCUAUACUUACAUACAAAGUUUAAAGAUAGAUAUUAGACGGAGAAGUGUUUUAGCUGUUAGAAGUUUUGGUUGCUGUUAACAAAGAUAAAAUGAAAAAGGUCAUCUGUUUUUUGACUUGUAUUAAAAGGAUGCAUAUUCGAUUUUUUUAGUUGGUUCUAGGUUUUUCCAUAUGCAUUAUUUUUCUGCGAAAAUCGUAAUUAAAGUAAAAAUAAAAAAAUCGUGAAAGGCAGCAAAGACUCGUUCGAAGUUCGUUCUUCAACAAAAGCUCAUACAAAUCGAAGCAAAGAGGUUCCAUAGUAUAAUCGUAUGUGUAACAAAAAUCUUUGUGAACUCGUCCUCCGGAACCGGUAGGUCUCGGUUACGUCACACACGCGUCGGACGUUAACGGUUUCACUGUCAAUAGGCAAGCACGUAUUUUACUUUUGUUUGUACAUCUUUGUCAAUGUUCACACACGUUCGGCUUGUGUAAUUUUUUCGUCACGAGUUUAACAUACAAUCUUUUGUUUUCUAAAAUUGCGAAAAUCUUUAUUUACUUUGUAAAUAGAGUCAAGUAUUUAAUGUAAGGAUUAAAUAGUAUCGAAUUGGUGUAAUAGAGCGUAAUCAGUAUGUAAUUAAUAGAUAUUACUAGGUUGCGCCUGUUAAUUCGGUAGCGAGGGGUUGUGUAGACAAAUCUGUAAGGAGCUAAGGAGUAGGGCGGGGCCGCGCGGGAGGGGUGACGUAGUAGGCUUGUGUCGCCGGUCGCACUCCGCGCCGCGCAGCUGCCCCACGCGCCUCCCGCUCUCCACGAAUGGCGCCAAGAGUGGAGAGCCGGGAGAGAAACCUUCUUGGAUUAUGUGCUCAGUGGGUGCCCGAAGAAUUGGCGAAACAACACCAACGGAUUUAGAGAAGUUUCUUGUCUUUCCCCUCUUGCAUUGUUAACCCUACUUUAUUUUUCGGCCAACUGCAUUUUUACCAUAGAAUCGAAUUUAAAAAUGUAAAUAGUAAAUUAACUUAUCACAUUUAUUUGUUCAAUAACUUGUUUUGUAAUCAUUACAACCAGUAGUUUACAAAAUGUUUUCUGAACAUCUAUUGAACCGCACGUAGAAAUAUGUGGUCUUUUGCAAAAAUAAUAAUAUGUGUAGCUCAACUACGGUUACACACAAUAUAAUCGUGGCCAACUAAGGAUUCACAAUUUCCCAGUAAACCAAAAAAAUACAAUAUUGUAAAACUGUAUCUAAGGAAUUUAGAAAUACUAAGACCAGGUUAACAUAACAGAUAUAAAUUAAACUUCCAACAAAACGCAAGUUAAUGCUCAAGCUCAGGCUCAGUCAAAUCAGGGCCCAACCCAAUAACCAAUUCCUUCUAGAACACUCGAAGUCAAGAAGACUCUACAAUUUGGUGCCCAUCGGCAUCAAUUUUAGUGCCCUACAUCUACCCUGUAGAUCCGAAUUUGUUUGAAGUGAGGCGACAAAUUCGGUUCUAGAGAGGUUUGUGUGGUGCAUGCACUGCAACGUUUCAAGUCUGAUGAUAAGAAGCUCUGAAGAUUUUUGUUUUUUUUUUUGUGUCUGUCGCAAUAAGAUAGUAGAGUUUUGUAAAGACGAUGUCAGGCUGUUAAAUGCUAUAGUCCAUUUUAACACAAUAUGUUUUAGAUUUGUUAAUUUAACUAGAAAAAAUAUAAUCCUUAAAACAUUUUAAGUGUGUUAAUAUUUUCAGGCAAAAUGCUUGGAAUUAAAAGAAUUGUAUUAUCUUAUUGCGACAUUAUUUGUAUUUUUACGUGUAUGUGUAAUAUUUGUUUUAUGUGCAUAUCCCAUUUUUUUAAGAAAAGUAUGUUUGAAAAAGCAGUAUUGUAAAUGUUCCCAAUUUUUAGAGCUAAUUUUACAUACCUACAUACACUGUACUGCCACCACAAAAAUACAUUUACCUUCACGGUUUAUGAGAUAAAGCCUACUGAAAGACAGGUGAACAGACAGACAGACUGCCUUAGUAAUAUUGUUCCAUUUCUACUGUACUGAAACCCUAAAAAAGAGCAAAAAAACUUAUUUCAGAAUGAGUGAAACAAUUCCAUUCUAAGGCGAACCCAGCAAUUCAAUUACUAACACAAAAUUGUGAAUACUUAGGUAAAAUAUUCCAUCUAGAGGCAAAACACAUGAAAAAUCUAAGCACGUAUUCUAUAAAAUCCAAGUAAAGUUAUUUAGAAAUAUGAAAUUGCAGACACGUAUUAGGAAAAAUUGUAUUCCAGACGCUCGCAAAAUGAAUGUUCCGUAUUGUUCGCAAUAUAGAAAUGGGUCUUCGGAGGAUUUAUUUUAUGAAUACUUAUCGCGAAAAUUGUCUAAGAACGAAUGCGGUCACAGGAUACAUCGACACUUGUUUUUAUGAGGCAGUUUAUUCGAGACUUAUUUUACAAUUGAUUGUUUUUAUUAACGUGAAUUGCAUUUUAAAAUGCUAUUCUGGAAUAUAGUAGCAAGAUUGACUGUCUCUAUCAAUUACUAUUGCAUACGAACUUUUGGAGUUUAUUAGUAGUUCAUUUAGUGGGCAGUUGAAGUCAUUCGAUUAAACAGCUAACGUUUAUAAAUUGUUUUUGUAGGCCAACUGCGAAGAAAACUUUUUGGUUUUGAUACUUAUUUUAAAUUAUCCGUAGUCGUUCUCAAUGUUAGUAGUAAAGCCAAUGAGACACACGUACUUCAAAUAGAGCGUUAAUUGGACCUCUAAUUUAAAUUGUUUAAUACAUCACGUGAAACAUAUUUAAAUUUGUUACUAGGCCGGCAUCGCGUGAGCUUAAUAGGAGUUUGAAAGGAUUAAUACUUGAAUUGUACUCAGUGAAUAAGUUUUCUAAUUGAGAAAGCUCCUUGAAAUAUCAAUUUGUAGUCUAGCUAUUCAUUAAGGUUUUACCGCAUUUUAUUGUGAAAAAAAACUCUACAUAUCUUCAUCAUAUUUCCCCCAAAUUACAAAAACUCUGCUGCGCUUUUUUUCUUGAAGGGAUGGUGACAAAGUGACAAUUGAAGCACAUAAAUACUGAUUGACGUUUACUUACUUUUGAAAUACUGCAUCUUAGGAUUACAUUUAAUUCAAUUUCACUGUACAUUGCGACAAAAAAUGCAUACUUAAAUUAUAUUUAAUCCGUUUGAACAUUCAACUUUACAAUUUUCGUACUGAUAUUCUCCUAGUACAUUAUUAAAUAAUAAUAGUACCAAAGUAAAUUAAAACAAAAAUGUUCUCAAAAUUGUACGUCUCUACAUUUUCCAAACAGUCAAGAGAAAACAAUAAGAGACUGAGUGUAGUUUGAGUAUGCGUUCAUUUAUUUUUGUGUUUUUUGUAACGAUAUUUUGAUAACAAGGUUCUCCCACCACACCGUACAAGUGCCUCGAACAACAUGACAUUCGUUGAACUUGUAUACUUGUGUGUAAUCUAUAUGAUUGGAACUGAGUUGUCUAUAUUUUUGUAAUAUGUGCAUUUUGUACUGUGAUUUUGUAUCUACUAAAUUUAAUGAUAAUUGUGUAUGUUUAUUUAAGGUUCUUGAAUAUUUUGAAUGUCUAAGAGGCCUAACACCACGUAUUAAAGUUUGACUGUUGCAAUUAUUGUCCAUUUAACUGAGAAGAGAUAUACCUAUAUUUCUUGUACUGCAAUUUAUUACUUAAAGACGUGGUAAUAGGCUAUUUGUUCUAAUUAGUCUGUAAUAUCAUUUUACUAUAGGUAGUGAUAAUUUAUUUAAUUUCAAAAGGAUCUUCCGGAUAGGAAAAUCCUUGCAUGGUUAUAACAUAAAUUGAAAUACGAAAAUACAGUAAAUGAAAUUGUCCUAAAUGUUAAGUUCCUCAAACUUGAGUGUAAUUCAUUACAAAUAGGUCUGAGUAGCAUAAAAAUAGUUUUACAGUAUUGUUAUAUUAACACGAGUUUUUGAUCGGUAACAUUGUCUUAAAUAUUUAAUCAUAAUUAGCAAAAAUAAUUUAAGUAUCACGAAAGCAUAUCGAAAUAACAUAAAGAAGAGUUAAGUAGAAAAUACGAACUCUUUUAAAACAAAGAAACAUAAAACAAAUUCAUUUUCCAAGUAAAUAACUCUACAUUUACGACUCAUUUAUUUUACUGUUUCAACUUGUUUACGGUGCUAGGUAACAUGUUACUUAACAUAAAGCUUAAUUGACGUUAAUUGCCACUUACUACUGCUAAUGAAGUAACAGUAAGCUUUAAAAGAGAAAUAAACAUUGCAAUAAAGAGAAAAUACAGUUUAGUUUUAGUAUGGAGAAAUGUAGCGCCAGCCUUUGGCUUUAACUCGGCGACAUUGUAAAGUAAUUAUUGAUUUUAAAUGUUGGAGCUUUUGUACUAUAAAGAUACCUAUACCUUUAUGAGUAUUAGGGUGACAAUCAAUUACUUAUAAGACUUUUUCGUUUUAAAACGUGGAUUUUUUUUAAAUGUAAGUUUAAUUAGGUAAUAUAUGUUGAUUGUCUACACAUGAGAUGUUCUAGCUAUUUUUAUGAACUAUGUUACUUUUAUGUCUUUAAUAUUGAUCAAUUUUGUAUAAGUGCACUGUGUUUUCUAUAUAAUAAAAACAGUCUGUGGAAAAUA